rnacentral:tRNA from 1 species
CCAAGAAUGGUUGAGGAACGCGAAGCUCAGGACCUCGUCCCGUAGGGGUUCGUGGGUUCAAAUCCCACCCCCCGCACCA